rnacentral:rRNA from 1 species
GAUGAACGCUGGCGGCGUGCCUAAUACAUGCAAGUCGAGCGAACAGAUGAUGAGCUUGCUCCUCGGUCGUUAGCGGCGGACGGGUGAGUAACACGUGUAUAACCUCCCUAUAAGACUGGUAUAACUUCGGGAAACCGGAGCUAAUCCCGUAUAAUAUAUUGAACCACAUGGUUCAAUAGUGAAAGACGGUUUUGCUGUCACGUAUAGCUGCAUCCGGGCCGCAUUAGCUGGUUGUUAAGUUAACGGCUUACCAAGGCGACGAUGCGUAGCCGACCUGAGGGGCUGAUAGGCCACACGGGAACUGAGCCGCGGACAUGACGCCUAAGAUAGGCAGCAGAAGGGAAUCGGCGGCAAUGGGCGAAAGCAUGGCGGAGCAAGGCGGCGUGAGUGAUGACAACCUUCGGAGCGUAAUACUCGGUUUCGAGGGAAGAACAGAUGUGUAAGUAACUAUGCACGUCUUGACGGUAACUAAUCAGAAAGCCACGGCUAACUACGUG